CAGCCUCGCGUGCCCUACACUGGCUUGCUGGGUUUGGAGGAAGCUCCAGGAACUGGAGGGUCGGCCAGUUGUAAUGUAUUUAGCAGAAAACUGGCUUUUCCUUGAACCCAUUCCUCGGUUUCUGGACCUCUAUACGGAGAGCGCUACAGUUAGGCUCAAUAAACGACAGGAAUUCCUGUCGUAACCUUCACAGUUCAUUUUUCUCCGGGUCCCGGGCCUUUAGAAAUCCCUGCAACCUGACAAAGGCUGCAGUCUUGAGCUGGGAGAUUUACAGGGAAGAGUUUCUAUUAACAAUUCAGCCUUCUAACCUGCUGCAGUUUCGGUCCCUUUCUCCUCCUCCGCCAGCAACCACGCCCUCCAUGAAUCAGCUUCUUGCACCAGCGGAUGAGCCCUUUAAAGGGAUUGCAUCAGACCUCAAGGGACCCCAGCUGCCAUCAGGAACCCUUCCACCAAGGAUGCCAAACUGGAACCCACUAAAAUGGGUGUUCUCCUUCAAGUCCCUUCAAGUUCAUCCAGGAAUGGGACAGGAGCAGGGGACAUGCUGUAUCGCCUGAGGACUCCAAAUCCUGGGGGCUCAGUCAUCAUCUGGGACCCCUCAUUGAUCUAUGUGAAGGUUUGAACUAAAGCCCUGGUGAUGAUUUUUAUAAAACCCAAACUUGGCUGGGUAGCAUUUUGA